UCAAUCCACAAGAAAAGGCGUCGCCAUGACAACGCCUCCUGUGUACCUUCGGGUUUAGCCUCCAGCCGAGGAGUCGUGUUAGCUCACAAACUACGGUUUAUUUUCGAAAGAGACACACGGGAGCGAGUGGGACGUCUGACAAUGCCGCCGAAGACCAAAAACAAAAAGGCCGUGAAGACCGUGGUGGACGGCCUGUCCCCGGAGGAGAUGUCCAAGGACCAGCUGGAGGAGCACAUCGUCCGCCUGCGGGAGGAGCUGGACAGGGAGCGGGAGGAGAGGAGCUUCUUCCAGCUGGAGAGGGACAAGAUUCAGGCCUCCUGGGAAAUCUCCAAGAGGAGGCUGGAGGAGGAGAAGGGCGAGCUGAGGAACCGACAAAGGGAGAGAGAGGAGGCAGAGGCGCGCCACCAAGUGGAGAUUACUGAGUACAAGCAGAAGCUGAAGCACGUCCUGUCCGAGCACCACGACGAGCUCUUUGGGCUGAAGGCGGACGGCGUGGCCUCGGCCGGGCUGGUCGAGAAGCAGCACACGCAGUCAGAGAUCGGCCUCCGUAGGGACCUGCACGCCCUGCAGGCCGACUACAGGGAGAAGAAGCUCCACAACGACAACUCCAUCAAGGAGCUGCAGCUGAAGCACCAAGUGGAGUUAAUGGAGCUGGAAAAGAACUAUGAGAAAAGAUUCACAGAGCUGCAGGUGACGCAUCACAAGAAAAGGCAGCUGAUGGUCGACACGGAGACCAAGAAGCGGCAGGACGCGGUCUCCCAAAUCACCUGCAGGAUGCAGAAGCGCGUUGAUAGUCUGACUGAGGAGCACGACGCGGUUCUCAAGCACAAAGCGGAUUACUACUCCACGCUGCAGAAAAAACUGCAGCAGGAUCAGGACAAGCUGAAGGGUGAACAGGCCCAGGCGAGGAAGCUUCAGCUGAAAAAGGACCGGGAGCUUUCAGCAGCUCAGCAGAAGAACCAAGUUCUGAAGACGUCUCUGCAGGAAGCCCAGCAGAAGCUUCCGGAGUUACAAAAACUGCUGCAAGAACACAAAGAGGCCAAGAGCAAGAUGGUGGCGUCUAAAGCUCGAGUGAAGGUCCUGGACCAGGAGCUGCGCGACCUCUCCCUGCAGCACCAGCUGCUGCAGUGCGGCUUCGAGAAGGUGGAGCGGGAGCGCGACGAGGUGCUGGAGAAGCAGACGGAGGCCAUCCAGGAGGUGCGGCAGAGGAGCAGCCUGAAGCACCUGCUGCUGGAGAAGAAGCUGGCGGCGCUGACCGCCGCCGCCGAGAAGCAGGAAGCGCAGCUGUUCGCCGCGCUGGCCGCCUCCGACGUGGAGCCCAGCGCGGGGGCCCGGGCCGCGGACAAACUCCAGGAAAUGCUGAAGUCCAAACAAGCCACCAUCGACGCCUUACAGGGCGACCUGGCUCGAGACUGUCAGGAGUACGACGAGCUGCUGCAGACCUGCAAGGAGAAGCUGCAUGACUUGGGCGUCCCUCUGUACGACUUUCCCUUCAGGCCUUCGGAGCGGACCCUGGGGGGACGCGACUCCCUGGGACCGCCCUCCAAAGAGCGAACCCGUCCGGGUGGAGCUGGCGUCCACUCGCCUCCAGGCUGCACCUGACCUCUCCAUCACUUGAUCACAUGACGGUAACGUUAGUCAGGAAGACAUCGUUGAGUCAGCAAGGCGAUUAUUAGACUUAGUAACCUCUUCUGAGAGACACCGGGGAGCCGAUGACACCAAUCAAGAUAUGAGAGAACAGAGGCGGGGGCGUGAAGAUGGGAGUUCAGCCCUUCAGCCACAAAGACCCUCAGUUCAAAUGGAAAUGACCAGGUAAAGACACAUUUGUUUAUGUAUACAUACUUUGUAAUGAUGUCAAUUUGUACAGUGAAAACUCCACCUGCUACCUACAGUAAGUAAUGAUAGACAUAGCAUUGUGUAGCAUCAUCAGCUUCUUACUAAUAUUGCAGCCAUCGAAAUGUAAGUGUUCAUUUUUGUGACCAUUCAGUAAAACAUAUAAAGACCUGUUUCACUUAGGGCUAAUGUGAAAUGUAUAUAAGAAAUGAUCAUGGGUUUCAAUAUCAAGUUCUAAAUCAUUGCCUGUAACACUUUACUGGAACCUGAUGAGAGUAUGCAGUAGAAUGGUGAGUUUUUCUAUAUUCAUCUAUCAUGCAAGAGCCUUUUUGUCAACCUUUUAAUGUAGUAAGAAAAAACUUGUUUUCUACAGGUCCUUCCCAGGUAUGUUUACCAAGGCCGGAGGAAAGAGGCGCUUUCCUGCAGCAAAUCUGGUUCCUGCCAAGAGAGCAAAACCGCUUGAAGUGUCUUUCUAUUUGCUGCCAAAGCCGUAUGAAAGAACUCCAACGUAUUCUCCUGAUGUUGAGCGUGUAUCUACAGGAUCGCGUUGUCGCGGCAAUGUUGGGAGUCAGGGAGAGUUGGCUGUCGAGUGUGACGCCGAGG